UCAGGCAUAGCUUCUUCUGAUGGUGAAUGGAGGUAACGACGACUUAGAUUAAUUGCUACCAUUAUACAGCAUAAUAAUAAAGGACCAAAAAUUGCACCUUCUACACCCAAACAAAAGAUUCCGCCUGCUAUGGAAAGACCUAAUUCAGUUACAACAAUGUUGCAAGCAAGAAAGUGAAACAUAAAAAACAAAAUAGCAAUCAUAGAUCCUCGAGUAAACCAGAGCUCCAAAGUAGCUGGGAUGCAAGCAAAAUAUGCAUCCAAAAAUGGUACUGCACCAAGUAUUGUCGCAAAAGCUGAUGGUAAAUAAAUUAUUUUUACUUGGAACAAAUUAUGUAUAAACCAUGUCCACAUGCCAAAGAAGGAAGCAAGUUUAAAUGUUGCAGCAAAUACUCCAAUCACUGCUUCUUGUAAUGCUAUAGCAAACCUACAAAAUAUAAGCUGUUAGACUUUUCUUUCAAAAUAUAUACAAUAAUAUAUAUUAUUAUUAUGAUGAUUCAGUUUAUACAUACCCUUCAACAUGAAGAGUGCUUAUAAAUCAAAAAAUUAAUUUUACAAAACAA